rnacentral:rRNA from 1 species
GACGAACGCUGGCGGCGUGCUUAACACAUGCAAGUCGAACGAUGAACCCGGAGCUUGCUCCGGUGGAUUAGUGGCGAACGGGUGAGUAACACGUGAGUAACCUGCCCUUGACUCUGGGAUAACUGCGGGAAACUGUAGCUAAUACCGGAUACGACCCUCGGCGGCAUCGCCAGGGGGUGGAAAGAACUUCGGUCAAGGAUGGACUCGGGGCCUAUCAGCUAGUUGGUGAGGUAACGGCUCACCAAGGCGACGACGGGUAGCCGGCCUGAGAGGGUGACCGGCCACACUGGGACUGAGACACGGCCCAGACUCCUACGGGAGGCAGCAGUGGGGAAUAUUGCACAAUGGGCGCAAGCCUGAUGCAGCAACGCCGCGUGAGGGAUGACGGCCUUCGGGUUGUAAACCUCUUUUAGUAGGGAAGAAGCGAAAGUGACGGUACCUGCAGAAAAAGCACCGGCUAACUACGUGCCAGCCGCCGCAGUAA